ACUGUCUUUGGUUUUGCCCCAGAGAGAUACAGCUAAAUUAAAAGGCACUCUGUUGGGGAUGAACGUAACAAAUACUUUCUUGGUACACUGAGCAGUCAGUGAAGGAAGGAUUGAGUUGAGUCUUCCCAAGAACCAGACACAGGAACUUUCCAGAAAUGCUACUUCUGCUGUAACAUCACAGAAAACUGGUGCCAAGCUUGGCCAGCUACCUGCUAAGGAUAAAAUGGAGGUGGAAACCACCAUUUGUAUAUGCCCAUAUAACUUGUAAGGAGCAAAAAUCAAUUGCCGCAGCUAAACCAGUGGAUUCAGGAAGACUUGGGUCACACAUGCUUCAGUGUACUUGUUACUGCAGGAAGGUAUUCAAAGAACAAGGGGUUUUUGUCUAAUAAAUUAAACCCUAGGAA